CAGCCGCCACGGGAAUACGGAGGGGGCUAGCGUUGUUCGGAAUUACUGGGCGUAAAGCGCACGUAGGCGGCUUUGUAAGUCAGAGGUGAAAGCCCGGGGCUCAACCCCGGAAUUGCCUUUGAGACUGCAUCGCUUGAAUCCAGGAGAGGUGAGUGGAAUUCCGAGUGUAGAGGUGAAAUUCGUAGAUAUUCGGAAGAACACCAGUGGCGAAGGCGGAUCACUGGACUGGUAUUGACGCUGAGGUGCGAAAGCGUGGGGAGCAAACAGGAUUAGAUACCCCUGUAGUCCCUGUCUCUUAUAC
rnacentral:rRNA from 1 species